UGGUUGUCAUCACAGCAAGACCACCCGUUAGGGGACUGGAGUUCAGAGGGUCCCUGGAGAACAGGACCAACGGUGUCUUUUCAUAAAAGAACGGCAGAACAGCGUCUUUUCACCGAAGAACAAACGUCUGGGAGGUGGAGGCAGAUGCGCUGCGUUGGUCUCCUCAGUUACAGACUCGGAAGUUGAGGGCGACUUCGGAGUCACAGAUAUUCGUUGUCACCAAAGUUCCUUGUCUCAGCGAUGAGUGGCUGCCUUAGACGUCAGGAUGAGGAGACUUCAAGCUGGGUCAUUCUAUCCUGGUAGAAGGGAAAUCCAGGCAUCGGGUCCUGUAGUGGUCAACGCUGGCUUUGUCCGACCCCGUGUGAAUCGCCUUGGGUUUGUCCCUUUGGUCGCCUAGGCUCUGGAGAUGCUCAGACCGUAAGUGCCAGACCUUCUGGAGGCAAGUGAGCAAAUUGGUUGUUCAGCUCUAGACCCAGAGGCAGCAGGCCCCUUGCCCUGACCAGGCUUCGUGUGUUCCAGCACUUCAGCGAGCAGAGAAGCCUGCGAAAGAGCCGCGUGCCCCGACACUGCUGUUGUCUUACUUGUAUGGGUUGGAAGAGUCUUCACCUUGAGGAACCAAGUGAGAACUUAGACAUGGAAAAUUGAGACUUGUUCGGAGGGUGCUACAUCCCACUCAGGCAGAGUGGAGGUUGGUGCGCGAUGCUACAGUACG